rnacentral:rRNA from 1 species
GACGAACGCUGGCGGCGUGCUUAACACAUGCAAGUCGAGCGGAGCGGCGAACGGGUGAGUAACGCGGGAGUAACUGCACCCCCCUCUGGGAUAACAGUUGGAAACGGCUGCUAAUACCGGACAGUGGGGGAUGACUCGCGUCCUAUCAGCUUGUUGGUGGGGUAGUGGCCUCCCAAGGAGACGACGGGUAGUCGGCCUGAGAGGGCGACCGGCCACAAUGGGCUGAGAGACGGCCCAACCUCCUACUGGUGGCAGCAGUGGGGAAUAUUGCACAAUGGGGGAAACCCUGAUGCAGCAACGCCGCGUGCGGGAUGACUGCCUUCGGGUUGUAAACCGCUUUCGGCCAUGACGCGGUAGUGGCAGAAGAAGCACCGGCUAACUACGUGCCAGCAGCCGCGGUAAUAC